GGCGGAUGUAGCCAAGUGGAUCAAGGCAGA
rnacentral:tRNA from 1 species